GCAUUGGUGGGGUUCAGUGGUAAGAAUCCUCGCUCUGCCACGGCCGGGGGGCCCGGGUUCGAUUCCCGGCCAAUGCA
rnacentral:tRNA from 1 species